UACGGAGGGGGCAAGCGUUGUUCGGAUUUACUGGGCGUAAAGGGCGCGUAGGCGGUCGUGACAAGUCACUUGUGAAAUCUCCGGGCUUAACUCGGAACGGUCAAGUGAUACUGUCGGACUAGAGUACAGAAGGGGCAACUGGAAUUCUCGGUGUAGCGGUGAAAUGCGUAGAUAUCGAGAGGAACACCUGCGGCGAAGGCGGGUUGCUGGGCUGACACUGACGCUGAGGCGCGAAAGCCAGGGGAGCGAACGGG
rnacentral:rRNA from 1 species